GGAAAGGCCUCUUCGGAGGUACUCGAGUGGCGAACGGGUGAGUAACACGUGGGCAAUCUGCCCUGCACUUCGGGAUAAGCCUGGGAAACUGGGUCUAAUACCGGAUAGGACCUCAAGACGCAUGUCUUCUGGUGGAAAGCUUUUGCGGUGUGGGAUGGGCCCGCGGCCUAUCAGCUUGUUGGUGGGGUGACGGCCUACCAAGGCGACGACGGGUAGCCGGCCUGAGAGGGUGUCCGGCCACACUGGGACUGAGAUACGGCCCAGACUCCUACGGGAGGCAGCAGUGGGGAAUAUUGCACAAUGGGCGCAAGCCUGAUGCAGCGACGCCGCGUGGGGGAUGACGGCCUUCGGGUUGUAAACCUCUUUCACCAUCGACGAAGGUCCGGGUUUUCUCGGAUUGACGGUAGGUGGAGAAGAAGCACCGGCCAACUACGUGCCAGCAGCCGCGGUAAUACGUAGGGUGCGAGCGUUGUCCGGAAUUACUGGGCGUAAAGAGCUCGUAGGUGGUUUGUCGCGUUGUUCGUGAAAUCUCACGGCUUAACUGUGAGCGUGCGGGCGAUACGGGCAGACUAGAGUACUGCAGGGGAGACUGGAAUUCCUGGUGUAGCGGUGGAAUGCGCAGAUAUCAGGAGGAACACCGGUGGCGAAGGCGGGUCUCUGGGCAGUAACUGACGCUGAGGAGCGAAAGCGUGGGGAGCGAACAGGAUUAGAUACCCUGGUAGUCCACGCCGUAAACGGUGGGUACUAGGUGUGGGUUUCCUUCCUUGGGAUCCGUGCCGUAGCUAACGCAUUAAGUACCCCGCCUGGGGAGUACGGCCGCAAGGCUAAAACUCAAAGGAAUUGACGGGGGCCCGCACAAGCGGCGGAGCAUGUGGAUUAAU
rnacentral:rRNA from 1 species